rnacentral:lncRNA from 1 species
UUACAUCCUGGGCAAGAAUCCUCGUAAAAUGAGCUAUAUUGUGGGUUUUGGUAAUCAUUACCCAAAACAUCUCCACCAUAGAGGUGCAUCUAUCCCUAAGAACAAGAUCAGGUAUAACUGUAAAGGAGGAUGGAAAUGGAGGGACACCUCGAAGCCGAACCCAAAUACACUUGUUGGAGCCAUGGUUGCUGGCCCUGACCGGCAUGAUGGUUUCCAUGAUGUUCGCACCAACUAUAAUUAUACAGAGCCAACGAUUGCUGGAAAUGCAGGAUUAGUUGCAGCACUUGUGGCCUUGUCUGGUGACAAAACUACUGGGAUUGACAAGAACACAAUAUUCUCUGCAGUUCCCCCAAUGUUUCCAACUCCUCCACCACCACCAGCACCUUGGAAACCAUGAGAUGCCACAGUUGACAGUUUUUAAGAGUUUAUCUGUGUGGCUUUUGGUAAGAUGAUUUUGCUGCAAUAGAGUUUGGACUUGGAACAUCUUGGGAGGUAAAGAUGAUGCUACUUAAGGAAGGAGGAUGGUCAUAGGAAAGACUACAAUGCAUAAGUUUGUGAAGAUGACUGCGGUAUACGUGCUUGGGAACUUUAAGAAAUUGAUAUUUUGUACCGAAGAUGUCUGUCUGAUUUUGUGAUAUACUUAGUAUAUGUGUAUGAUAUGUAACGUUGUAUUCUUUGGGAAAACAAAUUGUGAAUUCAACAGUUCAAAGACUGAUUAACAAUAAAUUCGAUUUAAUGUUGUAACAGAUCUCAUCUC